UACGGAGGGUCCAAGCGUUAUCCGGAAUCAUUGGGUUUAAAGGGUCCGUAGGCGGUUUUGUAAGUCAGUGGUGAAAGCCCAUCGCUCAACGGUGGAACGGCCAUUGAUACUGCAAGACUUGAAUUAUUGGGAAGCAACUAGAAUAUGUAGUGUAGCGGUGAAAUGCUUAGAGAUUACAUGGAAUACCAAUUGCGAAGGCAGGUUGCUACCAAUACAUUGACGCUGAUGGACGAAAGCGUGGGGA
rnacentral:rRNA from 1 species